rnacentral:misc_RNA from 1 species
ACCGGACGCAGGCGGGCUGGGACCUCUCGGGGUUACAGCCUUGCUGAAUUAUUCACCCUUGUCUUUUGCGUACUUCUUGUUUCCUUGGUGGGUUCGCCCACCACUAGGACAAACAUAAACCUUUUGUAAUUGCAAUCAGCGUCAGUAACAAAUUAAUAAUUACAACUUUCAACAACGGAUCUCUUGGUUCUGGCAUCGAUGAAGAACGCAGCGAAAUGCGAUAAGUAGUGUGAAUUGCAGAAUUCAGUGAAUCAUCGAAUCUUUGAACGCACAUUGCGCCCUUUGGUAUUCCAAAGGGCAUGCCUGUUCGAGCGUCAUUUGUACCCUCAAGCUUUGCUUGGUGUUGGGCGUCUUGUCUCUAGCUUUGCUGGAGACUCGCCUUAAAGUAAUUGGCAGCCGGCCUACUGGUUUCGGAGCGCAGCACAAGUCGCACUCUCUAUCAGCAAAGGUCUAGCAUCCAUUAAGCCUUUUUUUCAACUUUUGACCUCGGAUCAGGUAGGGAUACCCGCUGAACUUAAGCAUAUCAAUAAGCGGAGGAAAUU